rnacentral:lncRNA from 1 species
UGCAUCUCAUUCAAUCUCAUUCACCGCCGCUUCUCUUCUCUUUGUGACCUAAAUUCUUCACCAUUUCUUCUCAUAUAUCCCUUGAAAUCAAUCUACAUCAGUUAGAUUAAAUUUGCAUCUCUCUUCUUCACACGCCAAAGAAACCCUAACUUGCAUCCUCUUCCUCUUCCCUUCAUUCAACUCGAGAAAACAUUGUCAAUACGCUACAUUCAAACUUCACCAACCCCAUUCGUCUCUAAAGUCUCACCGUCUCAUCAAUGUAAGACGAACAUCGACGGUGCCGGGAUACGAUAAUACUUAGGGUAACAAUUAAUCCAAGGUGGUUGAAAUUGCAAUUUCAAUACAAGUUUUGUGAGAAUACUCCAACAAGGUUGAUGAUCUAGGAAUUGUUUUCACCGAUCUGCAGUUACAUAUUCUUUUACAAGAUUCAAGUGGGUCCAUGUUUGCUUUCGUCCACUCAAUAUAGUGUUCCUCUUUGACCACCGAAAUCUCCUCUUAGUCACAUGUUGGUACACCAGGUACAUUUUUUCCCAAUUAUUGUUAGGUGAUGUGGCCGAUUAUUGUUAGGUGAUGUAGGAGCUGCAUAAGAACUUCUGAAUCUCUUUCUAUUAUGUCAUAAUUUAGUCAAGGUAAAUUCAUCAAAAUAAUAUGUAAAAGCUCAAUGCAUUAUAUGUAAAAGCUCAAUGCAUUAUAUGUAAAAGCAUAUGGGACAAAACAUUGAUGUAAUUCAAAAUAAUAUGGAUCGAGAUUGUUAUAUAACCCCAGAAGAAGCUAUAAGGAGCUUGGGAUCAUAGAAAAAUUGGGCAGUGAAGGCCGCCGUGGAUGUAUCUCUGAAGGUGCGCAUAAGGAAUUUGGCAUGUGUUAAUAGCAUAAUGGUUUUUAGACGUGAGAAUUCAAGAAAUGACUAUAGGUAUCCUGUGAAAGGAUGGCCAGACUUCAUGUGUUCAAAUGGUGUGUCAGUCGGUCAGACUUGCACUUUUGUUUUCCUCCAAGAAGGAAAGGUACAUUGGUCCUUACCAAAGUGAAUUAGCAUUGCCUCCUUUUACUGGUAGAGAGAAAUACUUUUUAAUCAAGUUUUUAGAUGCUACCUUUGUGAUUUUAAAUGCUACUUGUGUUACUUUUGAAUCGGAUAUUAGAUGCUACUUUGGGAUGGUUUUUGUUGGUUUAUAUGCUUGAUACCAAGUAGAAAUUAAAUGGAACAAACUUUAGUGGAAACCUGUGCUACUUUUGAAUAUAGAUAUAGUUUUUUAUAUGGUUAUUUGUACUCUGUAUAUUUGAAUUGCCAUACACAAUUUCUUUUUAUAUGCAUAUUAAAAUAAAAACUAUUAAAACAAGUAAAUAUAUUAAAUGGUAAACUUAGUUAAGGUAACAUUUUAACUUAUUUCAUCUUUUUGGUUAAUUUGUUUGACUGUAAAAAUACAUUUUUAGUCAAAACUAAUCAUUAACAUUAUUUAAGGUAAAUUUAAUAUCAAUUCGAAAGGUUUUAUCUUGAUUGGUUAUCUUUGUACAAUUCAAAGGUAUUGAUAAUAGCUUUGACAAAUUUAUAUAUAAUAAAUUGCUUAUGUUAUUCAGUAAUGUAUUGAAAUCUUAUGUACUUAUUUUCUUUAUCUAUUUAUUCUUAGGUCCAGAAAAUUGUUAUAGUUGGAACAAUUACCUGAAUAAAUACUGAUCAUUUAUUGUAUUAUAGUGGAUGCAGUCACUCCAGGUUCAAGGUUGAAAAACAAUUCAACACAUAUGAGCUAGAAAUGGGUCUUGUGAUGUUCUCGACAAGAAGGUUUAUGCAUGUAUGGGAAGCAUGUCUACCAAGUUACAAGCGAAUAGGUUUUGGGGUUAUUUGAUGAGAGGCGAGGAAUUGUCGAUUGGUUAUCUUUAUGUUUUUAAAUGUUCAAAGAGCCAAGGGAAGCUAUUGGU